rnacentral:rRNA from 1 species
GCUGGCGGCGUGCCUAACACAUGCAAGUCGUGCGAGAAAGGUUCCUUCGGGGACCGAGUAAAGCGGCGCACGGGUGAGUAACACGUAGGUAAUCUGCCCCUUAGUCUGGAACAACUGGAGGAAACUUCAGCUAAUGCCGGAUGAGACCACGGCCCCUUCGGGAGCCGCGGCCAAAGAUGGCCUCUACUUGUAAGCUAUCGCUGAGGGAUGAGCCUGCGGGCCAUUAGCUUGUUGGUGAGGUAACGGCUCACCAAGGCUGUGAUGGCUAGCUGGUCUGAGAGGAUGACCAGCCACACUGGGACUGAGACACGGCCCAGACUCCUACGGGAGGCAGCAGUGGGGAAUAUUGCGCAAUGGGCGAAAGCCUGACGCAGCGACGCCGCGUGGGUGAUGAAGGCCUUCGGGUCGUAAAGCCCUGUCGCAGGGGAAGAACAAGCGUACGGAUAAUACCCGUGCGCCCUGACGGUACCCUGCAAGAAAGCACCGGCUAACUCCGUGCCAGCAGCCGCGGUAA